AGUUAGACCCUGUUUUAUCCUCUUCCGUGAUGGAGACUUAUUGUGCCUUCAAAUAAUACCAGACUAUAAUUCAAAUGAAAAUUAUUUCAACAGCAACCCCUCAAUCAAAAUGUGCUGAACCCGUUGUAAUUUGCAUAACAGUAAGUCGCUCAGCGCCUAUGUGCGCACUACUCGUAUCUUCUUGACUGGUCACUUGAGAGCUGCACACUGUGAGGACAGGACGCUGAUAAGUGUGAUGAAGUCGCAGAGCCGGAAUUUUAAUUCAGCUUCGAAAAUUGUAAGAAAUUUGUCAUAACUGCAAACGCCUUUGUCGAGAUCCUGCAGAGAUCCUGCAAAGCUUCCCUGGUCUCCGAGACACAUUUUAAAAUCUGCCGCAGGUCCAGAUCCAUUGACACCUCAGAUGCUAUAUGUUGAAAAUUGUACAUGAUCUCUCUCUCUCUCU